rnacentral:sRNA from 2 species
GUUUGCACUUGUCGGGGAAGGGUGAGAACCUUCGAUUAAGGUUCGACUCGAGCGAAAGUUGCCAACGGCAACGGCCCGUAGGGUGAGGAGCGAAGCGACGAAUAAUCCUUCCCCCACCACCA